rnacentral:lncRNA from 1 species
AACAAGGAAAACACUUUAUGUUCCAAUAAAAUAUAAUCAUCUACUAAAAAAAUAUACUACAACAAUAGUAUAUGAGCUGCAAAAAAAAUGAUAUAAUCUUAAUUGGAUGAUAAAAAAAAUAUUAAGUUUAUUCUUAUAGGCAGCAAGCCUAUAAAUAAGUUCUGACAUCUCUUAAUUGGAUGUCAUGAUGAUACCUCCAAAAUUAGGAGAAAAGAGACGAUCUAAAUAAAUACUAUACUCUUUAUAACUUUGCCAUCAUAUUAUAAUACAAAAUUAUAAUUAUAAGGCUCAUGAAAUUGGGAGGAAAAUAUUUAUUCGCUUCCAUUACAAUAAAUAAACCAUCUUAAAAAGCUACGCCUUUAUGCCCACUUCCAGACCCAAUCACAUUUAUGACCAAUGCACUUACUAACAUAAAACUCAUUCCACUUUGGUGGACAAUCAUCAUCAAUAAAACAUUCAAACUCCUCUGUAAUACAAAAGGUAAUAAAAUAAAGUUACUAAAACAUGAUAAAAAAAAAACUAUUUACGAAACUAUAAGAAAAUAAUGAAAUUUGAGAACGUUAAAAACUACUUACCACCAACUCCUGUUCUAACGAGAAAUAAGAAAAGAAAUAUAAUCAGAACAUAAAUAAAUUUGAGAAUUUCAGCCAUAUUAUUUCCUACAAGCAAUUAAAUAUUUGUCAGUAUUUAUAAAGUUAUAAAAACCUUUUAUAAAAAUAUAAUUAUUAUUUAUUAUAUUUAUUGUAUAAUUAGUGUGUUACGUUUGUCCUUUAGAACACCUAGUAAUGAGGUCACAUAAUAUUAAAAAGAAAAACUUUAACCUUUCAUGAAGGUAAUGAGAAUAUUUUUUUUAACCUUUCAUUACUCAUAACUUUUCAUUAUUAUUUUUUUAAACAUUUCCAUGAUAGUAAAUUAUAAUUUUUCUUGUGGGACGAUAAUAAAAUUAUUUGUUUGAAUAAUGCAUCUAUAUAGAAUGUGAAUAUACAUUUUAAAUUUUUUGUUGUUGUAAAAAUAGUUGAUGAAAAUAAUAUGUAUUUAAGUUUAUAAUUACGAGAAUAUUAUUUAUACUAUACAACAUAACUUAGGAGUUCUUCCCAUGACAACUAUAAAGAAACAAUCAUAAGUUAGGAAUUCUUCUCACGCCAACUAUAUAGAGACAAUGACUCUUUGAGUAGCUCUACAAUG